GCCGGCGCCGCCCGUGCCUGCAACCACCGCUUCCGCCCUCUCCCAUGCGUCCCGCCCACGUCGCCCGCCUCCCGCGCCCUCUCCCUCACUUCCCGCAACCGCCGCCCCACUUCCCCCGCGCGUCCGCACCGAGAAACGGCCGGGAUUCAAUUUUCGAAUCCCGCCGGCCCUCUUUCUCCACCUUCCCCACCUCGCCGGUAAAUCCGCACCAACCCCGGCCGUUCCCACACUCCCCUCCCCUAAAUAAAUGAUCCCUUCUUACUCCUCCACCUUUUUCCUUUUUCCACCGCCCGUUCUCGAGCUCUCCUCCACCCUAGCGCCGUGCACCGCCCACCGCCGCUGCUUUAGCUACCUUCGGCCGCCGCUCGCCACCGUUAGAGCUGCCGCCGAGUCCCGCCGUCGCCGUCGUCGGGUUCGCGAGCUUGAGCGCCACCCCGUCCACCCCUCCGUCGGGCGAAUCCGCCACUGGAACCCGCCGUCCCUCGUGCGCCGGUGAGCAUCGCCACGGUCGCCGCCUUCGGCUGGCGCCCUAGCUCGCUGCGGUCUCUCUCUCACUCUCUAACCUUCCCCGUUGUGUUCUUUUGGUCAUCCCGGAGCACGUCCCGCCGUCGCCGCCGUCUCCCGCCGCUCGCCGUCGUCGAUCCUUGUCGGCGUCGACGAUGGAGGACAUGGGCUGUGAGUGGCAGUGGCACAGGCUAGGUGGUGGUGGCAGUGGCACGUGCUAGGUGGUGGCGGUGCCGGCAAGCGGCGCACGGGGUGACGGGCGGCGUUGGCGGUGGCGCGUGGGCUGACUGGUGGCCGUGCCGGCGGCGGGCGUCAGUAGCGUCGGUGGUGGCGACGCGCGGGCUGACCGCCGGUGGCGGCGGCAACGGUUGAGUGACGCCAACCAUGUGUUCGACGAAAUGACGACAAGGAACGUGGUGGUGUGGAGUAACAAGUCUAACCAAACACUUUUACACCCUCCUAAGCUCCUAUAGGAGAUAGCUCCCUAUGGAGUUGGAGUUCAUAGUUGGGUGUUAGAGUUUGGAGCUCUACCAAAUGGAGCCCUAGUGUUAAAAGACAUUUUUUUGAAGUGCAGUGUUAAGAAAACUAAACACAUGAGUUCUGUGCUUUUUGAGAUCUUUA